rnacentral:rRNA from 1 species
AUGAGCAUAUCGAAUAAGUGAUGGGCAAGACUGGUGCCAGCAGCCGCGGUAAUACCAGCGUCACGAGUGGAGUUCGCUUUUAUUGGGUCUAAAGUGUCCGUAGCUGGUUUGAUCAGUUCUUUGUGAAAUUUCUUUGGCUUAACCAAGAAAUUGCAAGGAAUACUGUCAAACUUGAGACCGGGAGAGGUAAGAAGUAUUGUUUGGGUAGCGGUAAAAUGUUAUAAUCCUUACAAGACUAACUAAUGCGAAGGCAUCUUACUAGAACGGAUCUGACAGUGAGGGACGAAAGCUAGGGUAGCGAACCGGAUUAGAUACCCGGGUAGUCCUAGCCGUAAACGCUGCGGGUUACGCUUUGCUAAAUCUACGAGAUUUAGCAGGGGGGAAGCGAAGGCGUUAAACCCGCCACCUGGGAAGUACAGCCGCAAGGCCGAAACUUAAAGGAAUUGCCGGGGGAGUACUACAAGCGGUGCGGCGUGCGGUUUAAUUGGAUUUUACACCGAGAAACUUACCAGAAGCGACAGCACAAUGAAGGUCAGAUUAAAGGUUUUACCUGAGGCGCUGAGAGGUGCUGCAUGGCCGCCGUCAGCUCGUGCUGUAAGGUGUCCUCUUAAGUGAGGAAACGAGCAAGACCUAUGCUUAUAAUUGCUAACCAAGUCUUUUGGUGCACAUUAUAAGGACUGCCUUGGAAACGAGGAGGAAGGUGUAGGCGACGGUAGGUCUGUAUAGCCCGAAUCUUCUGGGCUACACGCGCGCAACAAUGGUAGGGACAAUGAGUCGCCACUCCGAAAGGAGGAGCUAAUCUUUAAACCCUAUCCAAGUUUAGAUUGAGGUUUGUAACUCAGCCUCAUGACAUUGGAAUCGCUAGUAAUCGGACGUUAUCAGCGUCCGGUGAAUAUGUCCAUUCUCCUUGGACACACUGCCCGUCAUAUCAACCAAGUAGGGUUGAGACGAGGUGUUGUUUUUUGACAAUAUCAAGUCUCAGCUUUGUAAGGGGGGUCAAGUCGUCACAACGUAUCCGUAUGGGAACCUGCGGAUG